GAUUAUUCUCAGGGCGGGGUGUGAUUCCCCACCGGCGGUAAAUCGACUGUUGUCGAAAGCCCGCGAGCGCUUCCGGCGGUGCCGGAAGGUCAGCAGAUCCGGUGUAAUUCCGGGGCCGACGGUUAAAGUCCGGAUGGGAGAGAGUGACG
rfam:Klebsiella sp. RIT-PI-d NODE_2_length_598449_cov_38.8215_ID_3, whole genome shotgun sequence.